rnacentral:lncRNA from 1 species
CACACCUCGCCUACCCUUUCACUUCAGUUUUAGAACUGAGAUUUCAGAGCCUUGCCUUUCCUUCCAGCCACUCUGCUCCUGCUGGAUUUCACCUCUAUCUCCUUCCCACCUCAACCUCGGGCAAUUACAUGUACGUAGCAGAAGGUACCAAGAACUUAUAGACCCUCCUUGCUGGUCACUGACUUUCUCCAUUCCCAGGGCUGGAAUGAGGCAAUUCCACCCUUUUGGACUUAAACAUCAGAGAAGUUGAAAAUGUGGUUGCAAGAAGGAAUCACGAUGCAGAGUUGGACUUUCUGUGUGCUGUGCCAGGUGCUUCCCUUCUGGGGAGCAAUGCAAGGCUCCCUGCAGAGUUGCUCCCCAGUUACCACAUGGAUCCCAGGAAUGAUGAGAGCCCUUUGCUCUUGCAAAUCAGAGGAAUUCCUG